rnacentral:rRNA from 1 species
GACGAACGCUGGCGGCGUGCUUAACACAUGCAAGUCGUACGGUAAGGCCCUUUCGGGGGUACACGAGUGGCGAACGGGUGAGUAAAACGUGAGUAACCUGCCCACAACUUUGGGAUAACGCUAGGAAACUGGUGCUAAUACUGGAUAUGUGCUUCUGCUGCAUGGUGGGGGUUGGAAAGCUCCGGCGGUUGUGGAUGGACUCGCGGCCUAUCAGCUUGUUGGUGGGGUAGUGGCCUACCAAGGCGGCGACGGGUAGCCGGCCUGAGAGGGUGACCGGCCACAUUGGGACUGAGAUACGGCCCAGACUCCUACGGGAGGCAGCAGUGGGGAAUAUUGCACAAGGGGCGCAAGCCUGAUGCAGCAGCGCCGCGUGCGGGAUGACGGCCUUCGGGUUGUAAACCGCUUUCAGCAGGGACGAAGCUUUUUGUGACGGUACCUGCAGAAGAAGCACCGGCUAACUACGUG